rnacentral:rRNA from 1 species
GGGUGCGAUCAUACCAGCACUAAUGCGUCGGAUCCCAUCAGAACUCCGCAGUUAAGCGUGCUUGGGCGAGAAUGGUACUAAGACGAGCAUUUGUCGCAGGAC